UUAAGCGACUAAGCGUACACGGUGGAUGCCCUGGCAGUCAGAGGCGAUGAAGGACGUGCUAAUCUGCGAAAAGCGUCGGUAAGGUGAUAUGAACCGUUAUAACCGGCGAUGUCCGAAUGGGGAAACCCAGUGUGAUUCGUCACACUAUCGUUAACUGAAUACAUAGGUUAACGAGGCGAACCGGGGGAACUGAAACAUCUAAGUACCCCGAGGAAAAGAAAUCAACCGAGAUUCCCCCAGUAGCGGCGAGCGAACGGGGAGCAGCCCAGAGUCUGAAUCAGCUUGUGUGUUAGUGGAACGGUCUGGAAAGUCCGACGGUACAGGGUGAUAGUCCCGUACACCAAAAUGCACAGGCUGUGAACUCGAAGAGUAGGGCGGGACACGUGGUAUCCUGUCUGAAUAUGGGGGGACCAUCCUCCAAGGCUAAAUACUCCUGACUGACCGAUAGUGAACCAGUACCGUGAGGGAAAGGCGAAAAGAACCCCGGCGAGGGGAGUGAAAAAGAACCUGAAACCGUGUACGUACAAGCAGUGGGAGCACCUUCGGGUGUGACUGCGUACCUUUUGUAUAAUGGGUCAGCGACUUAUAUUCUGUAGCAAGGUUAACCGUAUAGGGGAGCCGCAGGGAAACCGAGUCUUAACUGGGCGUUAAGUUGCAGGGUAUAGACCCGAAACCCGGUGAUCUAGCCAUGGGCAGGUUGAAGGUUGGGUAACACUAACUGGAGGACCGAACCGACUAAUGUUGAAAAAUUAGCGGAUGACUUGUGGCUGGGGGUGAAAGGCCAAUCAAACCGGGAGAUAGCUGGUUCUCCCCGAAAGCUAUUUAGGUAGCGCCUCGUGAACUCAUCUUCGGGGGUAGAGCACUGUUUCGGCUAGGGGGUCAUCCCGACUUACCAACCCGAUGCAAACUACGAAUACCGAAGAAUGUUAUCACGGGAGACACACGGCGGGUGCUAACGUCCGUCGUGAAGAGGGAAACAACCCAGACCGCCAGCUAAGGUCCCAAAGUCAUGGUUAAGUGGGAAACGAUGUGGGAAGGCACAGACAGCCAGGAUGUUGGCUUAGAAGCAGCCAUCAUUUAAAGAAAGCGUAAUAGCUCACUGGUCGAGUCGGCCUGCGCGGAAGAUGUAACGGGGCUAAACCAUGCACCGAAGCUGCGGCAGCGACACUAUGUGUUGUUGGGUAGGGGAGCGUUCUGUAAGCCUGCGAAGGUGACCUGUGAGGGUUGCUGGAGGUAUCAGAAGUGCGAAUGCUGACAUAAGUAACGAUAAAGCGGGUGAAAAGCCCGCUCGCCGGAAGACCAAGGGUUCCUGUCCAACGUUAAUCGGGGCAGGGUGAGUCGACCCCUAAGGCGAGGCCGAAAGGCGUAGUCGAUGGGAAACAGGUUAAUAUUCCUGUACUUGGUGUUACUGCGAAGGGGGGACGGAGAAGGCUAUGUUAGCCGGGCGACGGUUGUCCCGGUUUAAGCAUGUAGGCUGAUUGUCCAGGCAAAUCCGGAUAAUCAAGGCUGAGGUGUGAUGACGAGGCACUACGGUGCUGAAGUAACAAAUGCCCUGCUUCCAGGAAAAGCCUCUAAGCAUCAGGUAACAUUAAAUCGUACCCCAAACCGACACAGGUGGUCAGGUAGAGAAUACCAAGGCGCUUGAGAGAACUCGGGUGAAGGAACUAGGCAAAAUGGUGCCGUAACUUCGGGAGAAGGCACGCUGGUGUGUAGGUGAAGCCCCUGCGGGUGGAGCUGAGACCAGUCGAAGAUACCAGCUGGCUGCAACUGUUUAUUAAAAACACAGCACUGUGCAAACACGAAAGUGGACGUAUACGGUGUGACGCCUGCCCGGUGCCGGAAGGUUAAUUGAUGGGGUUAUCCGUAAGGAGAAGCUCUUGAUCGAAGCCCCGGUAAACGGCGGCCGUAACUAUAACGGUCCUAAGGUAGCGAAAUUCCUUGUCGGGUAAGUUCCGACCUGCACGAAUGGCGUAAUGAUGGCCAGGCUGUCUCCACCCGAGACUCAGUGAAAUUGAACUCGCUGUGAAGAUGCAGUGUACCCGCGGCAAGACGGAAAGACCCCGUGAACCUUUACUAUAGCUUGACACUGAACAUUGAGCCUUGAUGUGUAGGAUAGGUGGGAGGCUUUGAAGCGUGGACGCCAGUCUGCGUGGAGCCAACCUUGAAAUACCACCCUUUAAUGUUUGAUGUUCUAACGUUGGCCCCUGACCGGGGUUGCGGACAGUGUCUGGUGGGUAGUUUGACUGGGGCGGUCUCCUCCCAAAGCGUAACGGAGGAGCACGAAGGUUAGCUAAUCCUGGUCGGACAUCAGGAGGUUAGUGCAAUGGCAUAAGCUAGCUUGACUGCGAGCGUGACGGCGCGAGCAGGUGCGAAAGCAGGUCAUAGUGAUCCGGUGGUUCUGAAUGGAAGGGCCAUCGCUCAACGGAUAAAAGGUACUCCGGGGAUAACAGGCUGAUACCGCCCAAGAGUUCAUAUCGACGGCGGUGUUUGGCACCUCGAUGUCGGCUCAUCACAUCCUGGGGCUGAAGUAGGUCCCAAGGGUAUGGCUGUUCGCCAUUUAAAGUGGUACGCGAGCUGGGUUUAGAACGUCGUGAGACAGUUCGGUCCCUAUCUGCCGUGGGCGCUGGAGAAUUGAGGGGGGCUGCUCCUAGUACGAGAGGACCGGAGUGGACGCAUCACUGGUGUUCGGGUUGUCAUGCCAAUGGCACUGCCCGGUAGCUAAAUGCGGAAGAGAUAAGUGCUGAAAGCAUCUAAGCACGAAACUUGCCCCGAGAUGAGUUCUCCCUGAGACUUUAAGUCUCCUGAAGGAACGUUGAAGACGACGACGUUGAUAGGCCGGGUGUGUAAGCGCAGCGAUGCGUUGAGCUAACCGGUACUAAUGAACCGUGAGGCUUAACCUU
rnacentral:rRNA from 1 species